rnacentral:rRNA from 1 species
UACGUAGGGUGCGAGCGUUAAUCGGAAUUACUGGGCGUAAAGCGUGCGCAGGCGGUUUGUUGUGUCUGAUGUGAAAGCCCCGGGCUUAACCUGGGAAUGGCAUUGGAACUGGCAAGCUGGAGUGUGGCAGAGGGGGGUGGAAUUCCGCGUGUAGCAGUGAAAUGCGUAGAGAUGCGGAGGAACACCGAUGGCGAAGGCAGCCCCUGGGCCAACACUGACGCUCAGGCACGAAAGCGUGGGAGCAAACAGG